CUGAUAAGCGCACGGGUGGACGUGGUCUCUACACGAGCCCGCAUGUGCCGCAGGGCGGUACAUAUGCGCGAGACUCAG
rnacentral:ncRNA from 1 species